rnacentral:rRNA from 1 species
GAUGAACGCUGGCGGUAUGCUUAACACAUGCAAGUCGAACGGACUCUUCGGAGUUAGUGGCGGACGGGUGAGUAACGCGUGAGAAUCUGGCUUUGGGUUCGGGACAACCACUGGAAACGGUGGCUAAUACCGGAUGUGCCGAGAGGUAAAAGAGAAAUUGCCUGAAGAUGAGCUCGCGUCUGAUUAGCUAGUUGGUGAGGUAAAGGCUCACCAAGGCAGCGAUCAGUAGCUGGUCUGAGAGGAUGACCAGCCACACUGGGACUGAGACACGGCCCAGACUCCUACGUGAGGCAGCAGUGGGGAAUUUUCCGCAAUGGGCGAAAGCCUGACGGAGCAAUACCGCGUGAGGGAAGAAGGCUCUUGGGUUGUAAACCUCUUUUCUUAGGGAAGAACAAAAUGACGGUACCUAAGGAAUCAGCAUCGGCUAACUCCGUG